rnacentral:lncRNA from 1 species
GAGAGUCGGACUCCAUGCUAGGUCCAGGUGCUUCAAUAGGAGGUGCAGGUGGGCUCAUCAUAUCAGGAGAAGGUGCUGGUGAAGAUGCAUGUUUCUUCCCCUUCUUCCUUCCCUUGCCCUUGCUCUUGCUAGGAGCAGGAGCUGGUACUGUCUCCGAAGCAGCAGGUGCUGAAACUGGAACUGGAGUAGGUGGAGCAGAAGCAGCAGGUGGUGUGG